ACUACGGGAGGCAGCAGUAGGGAAUCUUCCACAAUGGGCGAAAGCCUGAUGGAGCAACGCCGCGUGGGUGAAGAAGGUCUUCGGAUCGUAAAACCCUGUUGUCAGAGAAGAAAGUGCGCGAGAGUAACUGUUCACGUUUCGACGGUAUCUAACCAGACAGCCACGGCUAAAUACGUGCCGGGAGCCUCGGUAGUACGUAGGUGGCAAGCGUUAUCCGGAUGUAUUGGGCGUAAAAGUGACGCAGGCGGUCUUGUACGUCCGAUGGGAAAACCGUCGGCUGAACCGGAGUAGGGCAUGGAAAACUGUGAGACUUGAGUGCAGUAGAGGAGGGUGGAACUCCAUGUGUAGCGGUGAAAUGCGUAGAUAUAUGGAAGAACACCAGGGGCGAAAGCGGCUCGCUGGGCUGUAACUGACGCUGAGGUUCGAAAGCGUGGGUAGCAAACAGGAUUAGAUACCCGAGUAGUC
rnacentral:rRNA from 1 species